GGAUGGCUUAGAAGCAGCCAUCCUUUAAAGAAAGCGUAAUAGCUCACUAGUCGAGUCGGCCUGCGCGGAAGAUUUAACGGGGCUCAAACUAUGAACCGAAGCUGCGGAUAUUAAUUUAUUAAUAUGGUAGAGGAGCGUUCUGUAAGCUGAUGAAGCUCAAUUGAGAAGUUGGGUGGAGGUAUCAGAAGUGCGAAUGCUGACAUGAGUAACGACAAGGGGAGUGAAAAACUCCCCCGCCGGAAGACCAAGGGUUCCUGCGCAAC
rnacentral:rRNA from 1 species